CAUUAGCUAGACGGCGGGGUAACGGCCCACCGUGGCGACGAUGUCUAGGGGUUCUGAGAGGAAGGUCCCCCACACUGGAACUGAGACACGGACCAGACUCCUACGGGAGGCAGCAGUGAGGAAUAUUGGUCAAUGGGCGCGAGCCUGAACCAGCCAAGUCGCGUGAGGGAAGACGGUCCUAUGGAUUGUAAACCUCUUUUGUCGGGGAGCAAAAGACGUCACGUGUGGCGUUCCGAGAGUACCCGAAGAAAAAGCAUCGGCUAACUCCGUGCCAGCAGCCGCGGUAAUACGGAGGAUGCGAGCGUUAUCCGGAUUUAUUGGGUUUAAAGGGUGCGCAGGCGGAAGAUCAAGUCAGCGGUAAAAUUGAGAGGCUCAACCUCUUCGAGCCGUUGAAACUGGUUUUCUUGAGUGAGCGAGAAGUAUGCGGAAUGCGUGGUGUAGCGGUGAAAUGCAUAGAUAUCACGCAGAACUCCGAUUGCGAAGGCAGCAUACCGGCGCUCAACUGACGCUCAUGCACGAAAGUGUGGGUAUCGAACAGGAUUAGAUACCCUGGUAGUCCACACAGUAAACGAUGAAUACUAAUUGUUCGGGGAGAAUGAUCCCUGAGUGAUACAGCGAAAGCGUUAAGUAUUCCACCUGGGGAGUACGCCGGCAACGGUG
rnacentral:rRNA from 1 species